rnacentral:rRNA from 1 species
UGAAGCAGAGGACAGUGGCGGACGGGUGAGUAACGCGUGAGGAACCUGCCUUUCAGAGGGGGACAACAGUUGGAAACGACUGCUAAUACCGCAUGAAGCAUACGGAUCGCAUGGUCUGUAUGCCAAAGAUUUAUCGCUGAAAGAUGGCCUCGCGUCUGAUUAGAUAGUUGGUGAGGUAACGGCCCACCAAGUCGACGAUCAGUAGCCGGACUGAGAGGUUGAACGGCCACAUUGGGACUGAGAUACGGCCCAGACUCC